rnacentral:lncRNA from 1 species
UUAUUAGCAGCAUGAGAACAGACCAGUACACAGACAUUUACCUGGGAUUAACUGAACUGAUUAUUUUUUUCUUUAUUUUACUGAAAUGAGAAGUAGUAACAUUUUAGUAGAAUUAUAAAAUGUUGAAUUGGAAUCAGUUUGCAGUGCAUGUAAAAUGUGAUUAAGAGAUCUGCAUAAACAAGUCAGUAACUUUGUUUUCUUUUGGUACCAAAAGGUGAUUUUUUAAGAUGUUUCAACCUGUGACAGUCAUUGAUUUCAGGUGACAAAAUACCUUGUAUUUUAGAUGCAUGCCAGAUAGUUGGAUAAGUCGUACUUGAAUGUGAUAAGUCUGGAUUUCCCUAGAGGUAGUAUGACUCUAGAAUUUAUUAUAAAAAGCGUGAGCCACCACGCCCAGCCAGUCACCCUUCUUAUGAAUGAGGAGGAUAAUUGUGACAGUCAUUUAAGACAGGAAAAUUGACAGCUUCUUAUCGAUAUUUUUAAGAAAUUUCCCAAAAAUGCCAGGCACGAUGGCUCACGCCUGUAAUCCCAACACUUUGGGAGGCCGAGGCGGGUGGAUUACCUGAGGUCAGGAGUUCGAGACCAGCCUGGCCAACAUAGUAAAACACAGUCUCAACUAAAAAUACAAAAAUUAGCAGGGUGGCGUGGUGGGAUGCACCUGUAGUCCCAGCUACUCAGGAGGCUGAGGCAGGAGAAUUGCUUGAACGCAGGAGGCAAGAGGUGGCAGUGAGCCGAGAUUGCGCCACUGCAUCCUGGGCGACAGAGCAAGACUCUGUCUC